UACGGGGGGGGCAAGCGUUGUUCGGAAUUACUGGGCGUAAAGGGCUCGUAGGCGGCCAACUAAGUCCGACGUGAAAUCCCCAGGCUUAACCUGGGAACUGCGUCGGAUACUGGAUGGCUUGAAUUCGGGAGAGGGAUGCAGAAUUCCAGGCGUAGCGGUGAAAUGCGUAGAUAUCUGGAGGAAUACCGGUGGCGAAGGCGGCAUCCUGGACCGACAUUGACGCUGAUGAGCGAAAGCUAGGGGAGCAAACGGG
rnacentral:rRNA from 1 species